GUAUAGUAGUGCGUGUGCACAACAAUAAUUUCAUUACAUUCGAGUGUGUGUAAAUCCUCUGCCCGCCGAAGCAAGCAAGAGGCCAAAGGUUCACAGGGGACUGGAUGAAAGUCACCAGCGUGCACUUGCCAGAGCUGGCCAGCACUGAAGGCAACGAUUCACAAUCAAUAAUGAUCCUUCCGCAGGUUCACCUACGGAAA
rnacentral:misc_RNA from 1 species